GGAGGUAUAGCUCAGUGGUAGAGCAAUUGACUGCAGAUCAAUGGGUCUCUGGUUCGAAUCCGGAUAUCUCCU
rfam:Selaginella moellendorffii unplaced genomic scaffold SELMOscaffold_152, whole genome shotgun sequence.